rnacentral:misc_RNA from 1 species
AAAGUGCGAUAAGUCUUGUGAAUUGCAGAUUGUGAAUCAUCGAAUCUUUGAACGCAAAUGGCGCUGGCAGGUUCCAAUCCUGCUAGCAUGCCUGGCUGAGUGUCGGUGUUUUCAUCAUAUAUCCAAAAUAUCCUAACGGGUUUUUGGGUAUGUGCAGAUUGGGAACGCUCUCUCUUUUCUAUACAGGAAGAGAGAGACGGUCUUCAAGAGCAGCAUGUGUAGCGCUCCCUUUGUGACAAAGAAAGGGGCAAAGAAUACGUGUGGUGUGAAUUUUACAUGAAUUUGGACAGCGCGUAGAUUUUUUGCUUUUUCACUGUGUGAGAGAGAGAGCGUGAAAACCAAUACAACGAUUAGAUUUUAGACACAAAAAUCGACAUCAGCUCAGACAAGAGUACCCGCU